CGAACGGGUGAGUAAUAUAUCGGAACGUGCCCUAGAGUGGGGGGAUAACGUAGCGAAAGUUACGCUAAUACCGCAUACGAUCUACGGAUGAAAGCGGGGGACCGCAAGACCUCGCGCUCAUGGAGCGGCCGAUAUCUGAUUAGCUAGUUGGUAGGGUAAAAGCCUACCAAGGCGACGAUCUGUAACCGGCCUGAGAGGGCGGUCGGUCACACUGACACUGACAUACGGGUCAG
rnacentral:rRNA from 1 species